UUGUCCGUCAUUGUUGUUUUUUGAUGACCUCUGCCUUCCCUUCAUCAGGAAUUCUCACCACGAACCUUUCCUGCAAUAACCUGGUUUUUCAUCUCCAAGCCUGAUCUCCCUCCUCACCCGGACCGACCCGCUCUCCCACCGCUCACCUCCCUUGGAUUCUGGAUUCACGCUGACGUUGCUCACCCCAGUCCUGGCUACCCUCCCAUGCUCUGGAUUUCAGUCCCCACAACCCAGCCCCGGAGCUGUGCUCAACAUCACCGCCACGUCUGGCGGUGCACCUUUAGUUCUCCUUAAAAUAAAACAUUUAUUUUUUCCUA